rnacentral:snRNA from 1 species
AAAUAUGAGGGCAAUCUGGCCGUGUCAUCUGUCACUCCACUGAUCACCAGGGUCGAUUUGGCUGAUCUGGCCAGCGAGGUGGGUGCUCCUUGUCCCCCUCACCGUUCCAUACGUGUACCUCCCAAAGCUGCACACUCAGUGGAUGAGAACAACCUUCCCUGCUAGAGGAGAACCAUUCUUUAAUCAAGAGUAUGUGAGUAGCUGUAUUCCCCUCCUAGACCCUCCAAACAAGCUAUCAAGGUCCAUUUUUAGGAGAACGUAGGGUAGUCAAGCUUCCAUGAUUCCGGACACAUCCAAAUGAGCCACUGCAUAUGGCAGUCUACUU